ACGGAAGGUCCGGGCGUUAUCCGGAUUCAUUGGGUUUAAAGGGAGCGCAGGCCGGCCCUUAAGCGUGCCGUGAAAUGCCGUGGCUCAACCAUGGCACUGCGGCGCGAACUGGGGGCCUUGAGUGCGCGGAAGGCAGGCGGAAUUCGUGGUGUAGCGGUGAAAUGCUUAGAUAUCACGAGGAACCCCGAUUGCGAAGGCAGCCUGCCGCAGCGCAACUGACGCUGAGGCUCGAAAGCGCGGGUAUCGAACAG
rnacentral:rRNA from 1 species